UGCGUAGGCGGACUAAUAAGUCAGUGGUGAAAUCUCUCGGCUCAACCGGGAAACUGCCAUUGAUACUGUUAGUCUUGAGUUCGGUGGAGGUAGGCGGAAUGUGUAAUGUAGCGGUGAAAUGCUUAGAUAUUACACAGAACACCAAUUGCGUAGGCAGCUUACUAGACCGACACUGACGCUGAGGCACGAAAGCGUGGGUAGCGAACAGGAUUAGAUACCCUGGUAGUCC
rnacentral:rRNA from 1 species